UCAAGCUUUCAUCCGGAGGGGAGGGAAUCUAUGUCCCUGGACAAGAGUAUGCCGUCGUGCUUCGAGCGCUGAAUUGAGGACAUGCCUAAGCAGGAAUACGUCGGCGUACUUCGAACGCUGCUAAUUUCGGCGAAUUGAGGACAUGUGGAACAAUCGUAGGAGCACUGAUGGCGCCAGUGGGGAGCAAAACCGGCUUCUGCUCCUGCGUUUCCUGUGGAACCGUUUUAGACUAUUGUGUCGAAUAAGUCAUGCUUGAUGAGCGAGGAGGGAGUGGAUGCAGCUUAAUUUGAAGAGAUACAGUGAUUAGCUGAAUUUGGAUUCCUUGAGAUGCAGAGGAAGGAUAUAUCAUAUAUACCUAAUGAACAUGUUCGGAAAAUUAUUCGGUAUGCUCCUGUCUCUUUGGUUAUACUGUUUUUAAUUUGGAAGCUACAGUCUAUAAUCACUGUAUUCAGUAUGCUCUACAUAGUUAAGAAAUUAGUAUUCGUUGAUUCAUAUCACAUCUGCACUCAAUUUGAAUUAUGUUAUUGCUAUUUGUUGCCUGUUCUUGAAUCAUGUUAUUGCUAUAUGUUGUCUAUUAGAAUUUGUUAAGAUUCAUAUCACGUCUACAUUCAAUUUGAAUUAUGUUAUUGCUAUUUGUUGUCUAUUAGAAUCUGUUAAGAAAUUAUCAGUAUGCUCCUGGUUCUUUGGUUGUUCUAUCUUUUCUUUGGACAGCUCUAGUCUAUAAUCGUUGUAUUUAGAGCAUGCUUUAAAUAGUUAAGAAAUGACUAUUUGUAGAUUCGUAUCACCUCUGCAUUCAAUUUGAAUUAUGCCAUUGUUAUAUGUUGUCUAUUCUCCCACCUG